GACGAGCGGCGAACGGGUGAGUAACACGUAGGAAUCUACCCAGUAGCGGGGGAUAGCCCAGGGAAACUUGGAUUAAUACCGCAUACGCCCUAAGGGGAAAAGAAGGCCUCUCUUUGAAGCUUUCACUAUUGGAUGAGCCUGCGUAAGAUUAGCUUGUUGGUGGGGUAAAGGCCUACCAAGGCAACGAUCUUUAGCUGGUCUGAGAGGACGAUCAGCCACAUUGGGACUGAGACACGGCCCAGACUUCUACGGAAGGCAGCAGUUAGGAAUAUUGGACAAUGGGGGCAACCCUGAUCCAGCUAUACCGCGUGUGUGAAGAAGGCCCUAGGGUUGUAAAGCACUUUAAGCAGGGAAGAAGCAUACUAAGUUAAUACCUUAAUAUGUUGACGUUACCUGAAGAAUAAGGACCGGCUAACUCCGUGCCAGCAGCCGCGGUAAUACGGAGGGUCCAAGCGUUAAUCGGAAUUACUGGGCGUAAAGCGCGCGUAGGUGGUUUAUUAAGUUGGAUGUGAAAUCCCCGGGCUCAACCUGGGAACUGCAUCCAAAACUGAUUCACUAGAGUACGAUAGAGGGAGGUAGAAUUCACAGUGUAGCGGUGGAAUGCGUAGAUAUUGUGAAGAAUACCAAUGGCGAAGGCAGCCUCCUGGAUCUGUACUGACACUGAGGUGCGAAAGCGUGGGUAGCGAACAGGAUUAGAUACCCUGGUAGUCCACGCCGUAAACGAUGUCAACUAGCUGUUGGAAAGCAUUGCUUUUCAGUGGCGCAGCUAACGUAGUAAGUUGACCGCCUGGGGAGUACGGCCGCAAGGUUAAAACUCAAAUGAAUUGACGGGGACCCGCACAAGCGGUGGAGCAUGUGGUUUAAUUCGAUGCAACGCGAAAAACCUUACCUACUCUUGACAUACUUGGAGGCUCUUGUAAUGAGAGUGUGCCUUUUGGAACCAAGAUACAGGUGCUGCAUGGCUGUCGUCAGCUCGUGUCGUGAGAUGUUCCGUUAAGUCGGAUAACGAGCGCAACCCUUACCCUUAUUUGCCAGCACAUCAUGGUGGGAACUAUAAGGAGACUGCCGGUGAUAAACCGGAGGAAGGCGGGGACGACGUCAAGUCAUCAUGGCCCUUACGACCAGGGCUACACACGUGCUACAAUGGGAAGGACAAAGAGCCGCGAAGCCGCGAGGUGUAGCUAAUCUCAUAAACCUUUUCGUAGUCCGGAUUGGAGUCUGCAACUCGACUCCAUGAAGUCGGAAUCGCUAGUAAUCGUAGAUCAGAAUGCUACGGUGAAUACGUUCCCGGGUCUUGUACACACCGCCCGUCAUACCAUGGGAGUGGGUUGCACCAGAAGUGGCUAGUCUAACUUUAUGAGGACGGU
rnacentral:rRNA from 1 species